rnacentral:rRNA from 1 species
GACGGAGGGUGCAAGCGUUGUUCGGAAUUACUGGGCGUAAAGCGUACGUAGGCGGCGGAUUAAGUCGAAUGUUAAAGCCUGGGGCUCAACCCCAGAGAUGCAUUCGAUACUGGUCUGCUAGAGGGUGAUAGAGGAAAGCGGAAUUCCCAGUGUAGCGGUGAAAUGCGUAGAUAUUGGGAGGAACAUCAGUAGCGAAGGCGGCUUUCUGGGUCACACCUGACGCCGAGGUACGAAAGCGUGGGGAGCAAACGGG